CGGACGGGUGAGUAACGCGUGGAAAACCUGCCGUAUACUGGGGGAUAACACUUAGAGAUAGGUGCUAAUACCGCAUAAGCGCACAGCUUCGCAUGAAGCGGUGUGAAAAACUCUGGUGGUAUACGAUGGUUCCGCGUCUGAUUAGCUAGUUGGUGGGGUAAUGGCCUACCAAGGCAACGAUCAGUAGCCGGCCUGAGAGGGUGAACGGCCACAUUGGGACUGAGACACGGCCCAAACUCCUACGGGAGGCAGCAG
rnacentral:rRNA from 1 species